UUUAUAACAAUUAAAUAACCAUUUGAAAAAAACUUUUAAAUUGAUUUGAAUUAAAUAUUUUUUAAAUUAAAGUAUUAUUAAAACAAAAAUAACAAAAUAAUGUCUAAUUUUACUGAACGGGGUUAGUGGUAGGACGGGUUUGGUCGAUAGUAUUACGAGACGGUAUACCACAAGUGAAAUCUAUUAGAUAUGUUUAAUUUCACUGUGCAGGAUUAGAUGGUAUGACGAGUUUUGAUCGAUAAUAAUACGAAACGAUAUACUACGGAUGAAAUCCUAGAUAUAACAACUAAAAUCUAUAUAUACAUUAUCUUAAACACUAAAGAAAGCAAACAAUAUUAAUAAAACAAAUAUUUACAUAUACAUUUUAUAUAACAAAUUUUAUUAAAAACCUAGCCCCGCGGUAUACCGCGGGUCAAAAUCUAGUUGUACAUAUUUGAGUAACA
rnacentral:sRNA from 1 species